AGGCUCGGCGCGUGCGCAGAGAAGCCGGGAGAGGAACCUGGGCUUUGUGCGCAUGCGCCAGAUGGAGAGCGCCCCGAUUGAAAGUGCGAGGAAGAGGCAGUUUCAGUGGAUAUCGGCGACUCCAAGGAUGUGUGCAGGAGGAGCCCAAAUGGGAAGAAACCCCUUGACCCCCAGAGAGACGCUGACUCGGACCGUCCCUGAGCUUAGACCAUGAAACCUACAAGAGCGACACCUUGGGGGACUCUGGAUACCUCAAGGAGGUCAGAUCAGCGAAGGAAAGUGGGAAAAAGAAUCCCCAGCGGGGGUCAUCUGCUCGGAGCCGCACCCCCGUCAAGGAGACUCCUGGUACCCCAUCAGAGCCCCACGAGACUUACUUGUGUGGCGGCGGCAAGGACAUGCCCCUGGGCGACCAUCAGAGCCCUGCACGACCCCCUCACGCCUCACUCAGUUCCCCCGUCUCCGCCUGCCUAGCGGCCUCGGUUCUGCUUGCGCCCCUCUGCUGGUACUGGUGCUUGGUUGCACUGGUGGCGGUGCUUUUUUGAAAACCCGGUGGCUGCUGGUGCUGCGGUAGUGGCAGGGGAAGUAGUGGUGUUUCCUCAUCCUCAAAUCCACCGCCUCACCCGCAUGCUGAGCAGCCUCCUCUCUGAUUGUGCCGUGCUGGUGCUGGGUUCCAGUGGUGGCACAGGUGGCUGUGCUUUUUGGAAAACCCGGUGGCUGCUGGUGCUGGGGUAGUGGCAGGGGAAGUAGUGGUGUUUCCUCGUCCUCAAAGUGCCUCUGGGUGCAUACAGCUGCUGUGUUGGUGAAUCCACCGCCUCAACUGCGUGCAGAGCAGCCUCCUCUCUGCUUGCGCUCUGCUGGUGCUGGUUCUGGGUUCCAGUGGUGGCGCAGGUGGUGACACUUUUUUAAAGGCCUUUUGGACACAGGCGAUGAGGGAACGCAGGCCAAGGCACGAGGGGGUCUUGGGACUCCUUUUCCCGCUUUCCAUUUCUAGCCUGACAAUUCACCUCCAGAUUCUGGGAAACUGCCAUGAUCAUUAAUCAGUCAAUUGAUUAAUUUAA